rnacentral:rRNA from 1 species
AACGUAGGACACAAGCGUUAUCCGGAAUUACUGGGCGUAAAGGGCUCGUAGGCGGCCAACUAAGUCAGACGUGAAAUCCCUCGGCUUAACCGGGGAACUGCGUCUGAUACUGGAUGGCUUGAGUUUGGGAGAGGGAUGCGGAAUUCCAGGUGUAGCGGUGAAAUGCGUAGAUAUCUGGAGGAACACCGGUGGCGAAGGCGGCAUCCUGGACCAACACUGACGCUGAGUGAGCGAAAGCCAGGGGAGCAAACGGG